GCCCGGGUGGCGGAAUUGGCAGACGCGCAGGACUCAAAAUCCUGUGACCGCAAGGUCAUGAGAGUUCGAUUCUCUCCCUGGGCA
rnacentral:tRNA from 1 species